rnacentral:rRNA from 1 species
UACGUAGGGACCAAGCGUUGUUCGGAUUUACUGGGCGUAAAGGGCGCGUAGGCGGCAAUUCAAGUCAUCUGUGAAAUCUCCGGGCUUAACUCGGAAUGGUCAGGUGAUACUGCUUUGCUAGAGUGCAGAAGGGGCAAUCGGAAUUCUUGGUGUAGCGGUGAAAUGCGUAGAUAUCAAGAGGAACACCUGAGGUGAAGACGGGUUGCUGGGCUGACACUGACGCUGAGGCGCGAAGCUAGGGAGCAAACGGG